GCGAGUGCGGCGGCGUCCUCGCUGGCCCCGGGGCUGGGCCCGUCUGCGUCCCGAACCGGUGAGGUCCGCAGCGCUGCUGCGGACGCGGGCCGGCAGGGUCCGGGAACGGACCCCGGCCAUUGGAUUUUCCACAAAACUGAAAAAGGAGCAUCGGUGAAUAACCCACCUUCAACUGCAUGAUGCACCGAUGGAAACGAGUGAAAGGCUCACAAGUGCGCGCAUGCACACAACCCUUCUCCAUUCCCAGACUCAAUCUGUUAAGUCAUACCUUAUAUGACUUGCUUGAGUCACAAGACUAAACUGCUAAUAACUGGUUUGUUACCAUCCAUUUCCUCUCAAUGUAGGUUACAUUUUUAUUUAGGGUAGUUUUUCCUGAUUGUCUGUUUAUACCUUUAGGAGCAGGUUUAUGAUGAAUCAAAAUAAACCACUUUUAAAAUGCAUUAAAAAUAGGUUGCACCAGUUUAAUUAGGAGAAGUUUAACUGUCUCCUGAAAUUAAACCAGUGUGUAUUUCUUAAAUAAAGUGGCCCAUAGAAGUACCAAAGGCCCAAAGGUGUGGUCAGGAUGUGUAAAUGGGAGACUGUGCAGUAAGUGAAUGUGAAAGCACAGCAGUGCUUAUGAAAAACAGUAUUAAGUGUAAGCAGGAGAUCUAUACAUCAAAAAUUUGCUUAGCAAAUCGACUAUUGCUUUUAUGGAAUGCUACAGCUGAAUUAAAUUUGGACUUUUAACAAAUGUUUCUACCUGGAAAUUUAAUUAAAACAUAGUCACCUAUUACUCAACUUGCUAUUGCACAAAAAUAAAGAAUAUUCAUUUGGGUUAGAAAAAUAUCAGAAUGUAUCCGAUAUUACUUUGUUAAGAGUACAUUUUACUAAUUUUAUUAGAGAAGAUUCCAUGCUUCCUUCACUUAUUUGCCCUGAUCGUGGACUUCAUUUGCGUACCACUACCUCCACAGUUUUUAUAAGAGAAGAGAAAGUUAGACAUAUGAUUCUGCAACUAGUCCUGACUAUGAAAAAAGUUUUAGUAUACAUUUUUCUAACACUAUGCCAUUAAACUGUGUGUCUCCAUAAAAGCCACCCGGGAGGAAAACUUUAUUGCUUUGUAACUUUAGAAGAUAAAAAGUAAUCUUCCCAGCAGAAGGAAAAAAUGGCAAGUCAUGAUUUAUAAGACAGGUUUCAAAACUUUAAAAAUUACCUACUUUUAAUUACAGUUUUAAAGUACAUUUGUGGGUGGGUAAUCUGUGAAACAUGAAUUAAUAUUUCUUCCCACUCACCUCUUCUUAAUUGAGCCAUUUUAUAUAUAUAAACAUACAGAAUAAGGAAGUAUAAUAGAAUAUUUUAUUUAAUAAAACAUGAUGUAUACUGAUUCGCAUUGGACUCCUUUCAAGUCAAGAAGUGAUGACAUACAUAAGAAUGUAUACAAACUUGUUGAUGAAACUGGCUUUGGGCUUGCGCUUUUACGUAGGGAAUGAGACUUUUAGUAAAGUACAGAAUCUCUGUGAACUUUUGUAUUCAUUCUUUUAUUACAAAAAUCUUUUUCAAAUAUUUACAUGCUUUUCAUCAUAAAAAACAUAUUUCUGAA